UACGGAAGGGGCUAGCGUUGUUCGGAAUCACUGGGCGUAAAGCGCGCGUAGGCGGCUUGGCAAGUGCGGCGUGAAAGUCCUGGGCUCAACCUGGGGACGGCGCUGCGGACUGCUUGGCUGGAGUCCGGAAGAGGGUGGUGGAAUUCCGGGUGUAGCGGUGGAAUGCGUAGAGAUCCGGAAGAACACCGGUGGCGAAGGCGGUUAGCUGGGCAGUUGCUGACACUGAGGCGCGACAGCGUGGGGAGCAAACAGG
rnacentral:rRNA from 1 species